rnacentral:rRNA from 1 species
GAUGAACGCUGGCGGCGUGCCUAAUACAUGCAAGUCGAGCGAACAGACGAGGAGCUUGCUCCUCUGACGUUAGCGGCGGAAGGGUGAGUAACACGUGGAUAACCUACCUAUAAGACUGGGAUAACUUCGGGAAACCGGAGCUAAUACCGGAUAAUAUAUUGAACCGCAUGGUUCAAUAGUGAAAGACGGUUUUGCUGUCACUUAUAGAUGGAUCCGCGCCGCAUUAGCUAGUUGGUAAGGUAACGGCUUACCAAGGCGACGAUGCGUAGCCGACCUGAGAGGGUGAUCAGCCACACUGGAACUGAGACACGGUCCAGACUCCUACGGGAGGCAGCAGUAGGGCAUCUUCCGCAAUGGGCGAAAGCCUGACGGAGCAACGCCGCGUGAGUGAUGACGGUCUUCGGAUCGUAAAACUCUGUUAUUCGGGAAGAACAAAUGUGUAAGUAACUAUGCACGUCUUGACGGUACCUAAUCAGAAAGCCCCGGCUAACUACGUG